rnacentral:rRNA from 1 species
AGCGAACGCUGGCGGCAGGCCUAACACAUGCAAGUCGAACGAACCCUUCGGGGUUAGUGGCGGACGGGUGUGUAACACGUGGGAACGUGCCUUUAGGUUCGGAAUAACUCAGGGAAACUUGUGCUAAUACCGAAUGUGCCCUUCGGGGGAAAGAUUUAUCGCCUUUAGAGCGGCCCGCGUCUGAUUAGCUAGUUGGUGAGGUAAUGGCUCACCAGGGCUACGAUCAGUAGCUGGUCUGAGAGGAUGACCAGCCACAUUGGGACUGAGACACGGCCCAAACUCCUACGGGAGGCAGCAGUGGGAAAUCUCGCGCAAUGGGCGAAAGCCUGACGCAGCCAUGCCGCGUGGAUGAUGAAGGUCUUAGGAUUGUAAAAUCCUUUCACCGGUGAAGAUAAUGACUGUAGCCGGAGAGGAAGCCCCGGCUAACUUCGUGCCAGCCGCCGCGGUAACAC